GAUGAGAAGCUUGCUUCUCUGAUGUUAGCGGCGGACGGGUGAGUAACACGUGGGUAACCUACCUAUAAGACUGGGAUAACUCCGGGAAACCGGGGCUAAUACCGGAUAAUAUUUUGAACCGCAUGGUUCAAUAGUGAAAGACGGUUUCGGCUGUCACUUAUAGAUGGACCCGCGCCGUAUUAGCUAGUUGGUAAGGUAACGGCUUACCAAGGCGACGAUACGUAGCCGACCUGAGAGGGUGAUCGGCCACACUGGAACUGAGACACGGUCCAGACUCCUACGGGAGGCAGCAGUAGGGAAUCUUCCGCAAUGGGCGAAAGCCUGACGGAGCAACGCCGCGUGAGUGAUGAAGGUCUUCGGAUCGUAAAACUCUGUUGUUAGGGAAGAACAAAUUUGUUAGUAACUGAACAAGUCUUGACGGUACCUAACCAGAAAGCCACGGCUAACUACGUGCCAGCAGCCGCGGUAAUACGUAGGUGGCAAGCGUUAUCCGGAAUUAUUGGGCGUAAAGCGCGCGUAGGCGGUUUCUUAAGUCUGAUGUGAAAGCCCACGGCUCAACCGUGGAGGGUCAUUGGAAACUGGGAAACUUGAGUGCAGAAGAGGAGAGUGGAAUUCCAUGUGUAGCGGUGAAAUGCGCAGAGAUAUGGAGGAACACCAGUGGCGAAGGCGGCUCUCUGGUCUGUAACUGACGCUGAUGUGCGAAAGCGUGGAGAUCAAACAGGAUUAGAUACCCUGGUAGUCCACGCCGUAAACGAUGAGUGCUAAGUGUUAGGGGGUUUCCGCCCCUUAGUGCUGCAGCUAACGCAUUAAGCACUCCGCCUGGGGAGUACGACCGCAAGGUUGAAACUCAAAGGAAUUGACGGGGACCCGCACAAGCGGUGGAGCAUGUGGUUUAAUUCGAAGCAACGCGAAGAACCUUACCAAAUCUUGACAUCCUUUGACCGCUCUAGAGAUAGAGUCUUCCCCUUCGGGGGACAAAGUGACAGGUGGUGCAUGGUUGUCGUCAGCUCGUGUCGUGAGAUGUUGGGUUAAGUCCCGCAACGAGCGCAACCCUUAAGCUUAGUUGCCAUCAUUAAGUUGGGCACUCUAGGUUGACUGCCGGUGACAAACCGGAGGAAGGUGGGGAUGACGUCAAAUCAUCAUGCCCCUUAUGAUUUGGGCUACACACGUGCUACAAUGGAUAAUACAAAGGGCAGCGAAUCCGCGAGGCCAAGCAAAUCCCAUAAAAUUAUUCUCAGUUCGGAUUGUAGUCUGCAACUCGACUACAUGAAGCUGGAAUCGCUAGUAAUCGUAGAUCAGCAUGCUACGGUGAAUACGUUCCCGGGUCUUGUACACACCGCCCGUCACACCACGAGAGUUUGUAACACCCGAAGCCGGUGGAGUAACCUUUUAGG
rnacentral:rRNA from 1 species